rnacentral:rRNA from 1 species
AGGCCCUACGGGGCGCAGCAGGCGCGAAAACUUUACAAUGCGGGAAACCGUGAUAAGGGGACACCGAGUGCCAGCAUCAUAUGCUGGCUGUCCAGAUGUGUAAAAUACAUCUGUUAGCAAGGGCCGGGCAAGACCGGUGCCAGCCGCCGCGGUAACACCGGCGGCCCGAGUGGUGAUCGUGAUUAUUGGGUCUAAAGGGUCCGUAGCCGGUUUGGUCAGUCCUCCGGGAAAUCUGAUGGCUCAACCAUUAGGCUUUCGGGGGAUACUGCCAGGCUUGGAACCGGGAGAGGUAAGAGGUACUACAGGGGUAGGAGUGAAAUCUUGUAAUCCCUGUGAGACCACCUGUGGCGAAGGCGUCUUACCAGAACGGGUUCGACGGUGAGGGACGAAAGCUGGGGGCACGAACCGGAUUAGAUACCCGGGUAGUCCCAGCCGUAAACGAUGCUCGCUAGGUGUCAGGCAUGGCGCGACCGUGUCUGGUGCCGCGGGGAAGCCGUGAAGCGAGCCACCUGGGAAGUACGGCCGCAAGGCUGAAACUUAAAGGAAUUGGCGGGGGAGCACAACAACGGGUGGAGCCUGCGGUUUAAUUGGACUCAACGCCGGACAACUCACCGGGGACGACAGCAAUAUGUAGGCC